GACGAACCGUGCGAACGUUAUUCGGAAUCAUUGGGCUUAAAGAGCGCGUAGGCGGGUCGACACGUCGGAACUGAAAUCCCCCGGCUCAACCGGGGAACGGGCUCCGAUACGAUCGACCUCGAGGUGAGGAGGGGGACCUGGAACGUCCGGUGGAGCGGUGAAAUGCGUUGAGAUCGGACGGAACGCCGAUGGCGAAAGCAAGGUCCUGGGCUCAUAUCUGACGCUGAGGCGCGAAAGCCAGGGGAGCGAACGGG
rnacentral:rRNA from 1 species